rnacentral:rRNA from 1 species
UUCUGAACGACUGGCGGAGGGGUGAGUAACACGUGGGUAACCUGCCCUUAAGUGGGGGAUAACAUUUGGAAACAGAUGCUAAUACCGCAAAAAUCCAAGAACCGCAAGGUUCUUGGCUGAAAGAUGGCGUAAGCUAUCGCUUUUGGAUGGACCCGCGGCGUAUUAGCUAGUUGGUGAGGUAACGGCUCACCAAGGCAAUGAUACGUAGCCGAACUGAGAGGUUGAUCGGCCACAUUGGGACUGAGACACGGCCCAAACUCCUACGGGAGGCAGCAGUAGGGAAUCUUCCACAAUGGACGCAAGUCUGAUGGAGCAACGCCGCGUGAGUGAAGAAGGCUUUCGGGUCGUAAAACUCUGUUGUUGGAGAAGAAUGGUCGGCAGAGUAACUGUUGUCGGCGUGACGGUAUCCAACCAGAAAGCCACGGCUAACUACGUGCCAGCAGCCGCGGUAAUACGUAGGUGGCAAGCGUUAUCCGGAUUUAUUGGGCGUAAAGCGAGCGCAGGCGGUUUUUUAAGUCUGAUGUGAAAGCCCUCGGCUUAACCGAGGAAGUGCAUCGGAAACUGGGAAACUUGAGUGCAGAAGAGGACAGUGGAACUCCGUGUGUAGCGGUGAAAUGCGUAGAUAUAUGGAAGAACACCAGUGGCGAAGGCGGCUGUCUGGUCUGUAACUGACGCUGAGGCUCGAAAGCAUGGGUAGCGAACAGGAUUAGAUACCCUGGUAGUCCAUGCCGUAAACGAUGAAUGCUAGGUGUUGGAGGGUUUCCGCCCUUCAGUGCCGCAGCUAACGCAUUAAGCAUUCCGCCUGGGGAGUACGACCGCAGGUUGAACUCAAAGGAUUUGACGGGGGCCCGCACAACCGGUGAACAUGUGGUUAAUUCUAAGCACGCGAAGACCUUACAAGGUCUUGACAUCUUUUGAUCACCUGAGAGAUCAAGUUCCCC